rnacentral:rRNA from 1 species
UACGAAGGGAGCUAGCGUUGUUCGGAAUUACUGGGCGUAAAGGGCGCGUAGGUGGUUCGAUAAGUGAGAUGUGAAAGCCCCGGGCUUAACCUGGGAAAUGCAUUUCAUACUGUUGGACUAAGUGUGUAAGAGGGGAAAGCGGAAUGACGAGUGGAGCAGUGAAAUGCGUUGAUAUUCGUUGGAACACCAGAGGCGAAGGCGGCUUCCUAGCUUACAACAGACACUAAGGCGCUAAAGCGUGGGGAGCAAACAGG